GAGGCAGGGCAGAGACAAAAUUGAUGUUUAGAAAUAUCAAUAGUGUCUAUGGUAGUUCGCAAAUUAUAGUCACAAUGGUGUAUAUACACCCUAAUUUCUCUUAAUUAGUGAUAUGAGAGAGAGAGAAGGAGGAAGAGAGUUUGGGCAGGAGCUGGUAGAGGCAGGGCAUGGACAAGAUUGAUGUUUAGAAAUAUCAAUAGUGUCUAGGGUAGUUCGCAAAUUAUAGUCACAAUGGUGUAUAUACACCCUAAUUUCUCUUAAUUAUAUUGUAUUUUGUUUUAGGUCAAAAUAUUGUAUU
rnacentral:lncRNA from 1 species